rnacentral:rRNA from 1 species
GACGAACGCUGGCGGCGUGCUUAACACAUGCAAGUCGAACGGAAAGGCCCUGCUUUUGUGGGGUGCUCGAGUGGCGAACGGGUGAGUAACACGUGAGUAACCUGCCCUUGACUUUGGGAUAAAUCUAGGAAACUGGGGCUAAUACCGGAUAGGAGCUCCUGCUGCAUGGUGGGGGUUGGAAAGUUUCGGCGGUUGGGGAUGGACUCGCGGCUUAUCAGCUUGUUGGUGGGGUAGUGGCCUACCAAGGCUUUGACGGGUAGCCGGCCUGAGAGGGUGACCGGCCACAUUGGGACUGAGAUACGGCCCAGACUCCUACGGGAGGCAGCAGUGGGGAAUAUUGCACAAUGGGCGGAAGCCUGAUGCAGCGACGCCGCGUGCGGGAUGACGGCCUUCGGGUUGUAAACCGCUUUCGCCUGUGACGAAGCGUGAGUGACGGUAAUGGGUAAAGAAGCACCGGCUAACUACGUG